CCUCCUGCUGGAGAACCUGACAGAAAGCCAGCCUUUGAGGAACCCUACAGGAUGGCAAGAGAUGUUCUGGCUGUGUAAGUAGCUGCUCUCAGGACGCUCAUACCAACCCAUAUAGAGGAGAUGCUACCUCAUCUCCCUUUCUGGAACAGAACUCUGGGCUCUGGCAGGAUGCCCAUGGGUCAAGGUCACCAGGAAACACGAAAUCCUCUCAGGGCUCGUCUGCUGGGUCACAUCCAGGUCUACAUCCGUGUCCAGUAGAAGCUGCCUGGUGGCCAACCUACCCCCUCCACAG